rnacentral:lncRNA from 1 species
CAGCCACGGAGUCAUCUUUCCAGUCUCUGUUUUCUUACCUGCAAUGGGCCUACAUACAAUCCUUUCUGGCAUGCAUCCACCAGCUUCAGGCAGGGUGUUGGAAUACAGGAAACUGUUAGCCAGAUGUUCCAUUGUACAGAACUAAAAGUUCAGAAUUGAGAAAGCAGAAAGGAACAUAAAAUUUCUGGGAAGAAGAGAAAUGAAAUUUCUUCAAUCACAUCAUUACAGAAGGAUCCCAGUGAACACAUACAGAAAGAGUAAUAGAAAUUAAAUAUGGCUCUGUUAUAAACACCAUAGGAAUAGUUCUUACCAAUAAGAUUAUUUGGCUUUCAUUAAAGCCAUGGCAUAACAUGACUUGGAAGGAGACACUCCUUUUCCUAAAUCAGCUGCUGCUGCAGUUUGCUUGCUAGUUUUAGAAAGGAAGAGAUAUCCUCCCCUGGAAUAUGCCAUCCAAUGGCAGAACUAUAGUCACUGAAUACAGGAGAAACUGAGACCUUGGGUCUCUCUCUAUGAUGCCUGUGAACCAUGAAUAUUUGACCUGAAGCUACAAUGAAGGAGACAGGAAAAUUCUGCAUGGAGAUGUACUGUGCAAAGCAUCAAGCAGGAGUUUUUGAAAAUAAA